rnacentral:rRNA from 1 species
UACGUAGGGAGCGAGCGUUGUCCGGAUUCAUUGGGCGUAAAGAGCUCGUAGGCGGUUCGUCGCGUCGGCUGUGAAAUCCCGAGGCUCAACCUCGGGUCUGCAGUCGAUACGGGCGGACUGGAGUUCGGCAGGGGAGACUGGAAUUCCUGGUGUAGCGGUGAAAUGCGCAGAUAUCAGGAGGAACACCGGUGGCGAAGGCGGGUCUCUGGGCCGAUACUGACGCUGAGGAGCGAAAGCGUGGGGAGCGAACAGG